ensembl:lncRNA
GGUCCCUCUGCCUUGCUGCCCAGCCUCAGCCUUUCUCUCUGCCAAGGAGAAAAAAGAAUUACACAGCUAUAUUUAUCGCCAAGAUGUUUAGUGUAAAGAGCAUUGUGUCCGAAGGAAACAGUGAGACAUUUAAGGUAGACCAUCAGAUGGACUUCCUGACUUGACAAAUGGUGGUGGCCAUCCCCAAAGAGGCUGGUGGGGUUUUUGCCAGCGGAGAUAAUCUUGUUGCAGGGGCUCCGGAGCGACCGAGACACGCAGUGAUGCCCCAGAGGAAGUAGUAUUCCUGUAAAGCACCUUGGGCCACCAAGCAUGGGAAGAGGCCGGGAUGGCGUUUUCUCCACACCUUCCAGACUGGCCAUCCUCUGACAUUCUUGCAUCCAAUUUGGUAUAC